GACCAUAGCUCCUGGGACCGGGAGACAAAAGUGUUUGGCUGUGUUGCUAUGGCAAACAGGUUUGUAAAAACGAACCUGUUUAUAAAUCAUGAUAUUUUAAAUGUACUGUCCUACGGUAUGCUAUUUAUCAAGUCUGCUUGGUAAAUUGGACUCACUGAAUGUUUAGAAGAAUUCACACUGAACAAGCACAUUCAUGCUGUACCCCACUGUAUGCAAGUAGUUGUGGUGGCAAUUUAGCAUUAAAAAAUUAAAAAGAUUCCGUGUGAUUCCUUUACUAAGUGUUUCAGGCAUCGGUGCAUGCGAUCCCUUGUUCGCCGGCUGCUCGCCUGACAAUGCUACAUGCUAUAGCACCUGCCCUGCUGACAUCUCAACUGAAGUGAGAAACGAACAAAUCACUUGAAGUGAUUUGGUUCAGUACGUUCACUUAAAUGAUUCGGUUCUUUUGAACGAAUUGUUUGCAAACGACACAACAUUAACAAAUGGACAGAAACAAUUAUUACUUACAGGAGCUUUAAAUUGCCAGAAAAGUCAAAUAAAAAAGUAACCUCAAAGCAAACUUGAAACUGAUAUGGCUACUGAAAGGGAAUUCUAUAUCAUAUAUUAUAUAUUUUAUAUAAUAUAUAUGUGAUUAUCUUUUAUUAAAGAUUCAUGAACGGGUAACGUUGGCAUGGUUGUGCAGCCUGAGGUCAUGUAACCCAGGCUGUUUUGCAGGGACCUAAACUUAUCAGUCUGUCUAAACACGUAGGGCUAAUUUCCAGGAAAGCUGAGAAUAAUCCAGACAACAGGUAAUGUCUAACACUGGUCUGGACUUUGACACUAGGGAUGGAGAGGACACAGUGGGGAUCAGAGAGGAGCUGGAGAGAUGUCAGGUUUAAUUCUGUCCCUGUCAUUGGAGAACUUAGUGUUAAUUCUAGAGCAGACCCUGAAUAACUGGAGUCCAGCCCUGAAAAGGGUCCACUGAGCUGCUGAGGGCAGCGCUGCCAAACCCCAGAAAGCCACGCAGCUAGCUUCUUCACUGUCCUGUAAACAAUAAAGCUCAGUCACUCAGCACUCCUGUAAGCCUGGAGCACUUUCACUUUAUUGUUCUUUGCAGCUGCUUUCUGUGUUUGUGCCAAUUCUGUAUUUGCCGCGCUUUUGUUGUUAAUGCACUUGUUUUGGCUUUUUUCAGUAAGUUAUUCACCUACAGUGUGUUUUAACUGCUGUGUGUUUUACAGUACGUUUCUCCAAAUGAAGAAUGUCCAUGCCACAUUGUUGACCAUUGUCAGCCACUGUACUGCUCUUGCGUCAUGUCACAAUGACCCAUUCAAUCCAGAUACUGAGAUUGCUCUGUAUAGAGCCUAUCAGUUUCAACUAAUCACAUCUACGCCCUACAAGUGUAGACGGGAGCCAGCAGGGACAGGUGGGGUCAAGCAUCUUGUCCACGGACACUUCAGCAUGUUGACAGCAGGUCCUGGGAUUGAACCCCUGACCUUUUUAUUGGGCUGUGACUGACUCACUGAGCCAGAGCCAUCCUCUGUGUGUAUGACAAAGUGCAGGAGAGAGGCGGACACUUGUCAGGAUGUAGAGGGAGCUCACUAUCUGUCCACAAGCUGUGAGUUGUAACAGUAUCAUGCUUUUACUAGAUUAUGUUUGCUAAUAUCAUGAACAAACAUUAAAAUAAAAACUGCAUGGAUUUUGAGCCUUGACUUUAUUCUAUUCUUGUCGGGUGUAAAAACACACAAAUAGACUUUAUUUUUUUGCUGUAAAAGAAGAAAAAUCAGUGACAGUGUAUGAAGUGCAGGUAGUGUUGGCCUUCUGGAGACUAGAUUCAUGUAAAACAAGCUUAAAUAUGAUAUAAGCCGCUCGUAAAAAGACUCAUAGUACAAACCUCCUGCUGUUGCUCAUGUCACUUUUGGAUUUGAUAUGAAAGAAAUACAGAAAUUAACAGGAUUAAGUUUUCCAAGGCGCUGCAUUUAAAUCCUUCCUUCAGGAUCAGCAGGUAACUGUAUCUUUACUGGCAGAAAACCACUGUGCACAUAGAGCUAAUGUUUAGCAGCACAUUAGCUGACAAGUAUUUAAUAUCAGCAUUAAAAUACUAGAUUCUAUUCUUUUGGCUCUGCUGAUGCCAGUGUUUAGCAAGUUUUUAAGCUAAAUAAUGUUUUUACUAUGGUAUUUAAAUCCAACUUGUUGCAAAUAUCAGUGUGUUUUUCCUCUUUGAACAACACAGUCUGGGUAUAGUUUACAGGUUUUUUGAAUAACACAUUUCCUAUGUUGUAGAGGAGAAAAAAGAAAAAGAAAACACAGUAUGAGCAGCGAGGUCAAUGUCACCAACAGUUAUAUGUCAUUAAAUAAAAGUUGUUUAAAAAUAACCCUUAGAUAAUUGUCAGCGUGUGUCUGUUAAUGCUCGCAAUUGAGAGAGCACGCACAAAGCUUGGUAAUCGCUCAGGCUGCAACUUUGGGAAUGAGCAGGUUUGAGGUUAUGUGGAAAAGGCAGUGUGCAGUAUGGUGAUGUAUGGAGACAUCUCCAAGCCCUCUGACCAAAUUACAAAGUCAGUUUCACCAUAUCAGCAAAAAAAACUUUUAUUUCAUAAGUCAGAGCUCAGCUGUGCAUCUCUGAGCGUAAAACGACAAAUAAAAACUUGUGUCGGCUCUUAAUGCCCUUUCACGUUCAAACUAAUAGAAAAAGCCCCCCUGCAGACACUUACUGCCUCCAACAACGUGCUUUUGCGCGCAACCACUACAUUCGCAGGCGCCAACGUGGAUAAUUGGGACCAAACAGUGUGUCUGCUCUAACUCCCCCUUUUCUACCUUACCUUUGCAAACACAGGAUAAAAACACACACACACACACACACAGCUCACUGUGAGUCACCUGAAGGCAUGGGUUACUAUAAAAUCCUCCAAAACAACUCCUCUGCGCAGCACUUAUGAUGACUGACUUUUUGAAUAAAUAGAUAUGAAAACACUUACGCACAGCAGCGUAACUCUCCAGGCACAGACAGGAUCAGGCAGGAUCUUAUGAUAACUGACCUCUCGUGUGUUUUACUCAUAGACUGUAUAUAGAAUAGUUAUAGAAUUGUCCAUUAAUAUCCAGCAUGGCUAAAUCCUCCUACAGUUAUAUUUCAGGACUGUAAAAAAUACCCCUUAGAUGCACGUGAGCAUGUGUAGACGAGUGUGUCACUGUUUAUGCAGAGAUGGAGGGUGAGCACAUCAUGAAGCUUGGUGACGAGACAUGCUGCAACUUUGGGGCUGAGCAGGUCUGAAGUUAUGAGGAGAAAGCGGUAAGUAAUGUCGUAAAGGAUGCAAAAAAAGGAAAUCUCACUUCUCCGAGCCUUCUGACUGAAUGAAAGACUCAAUUUCAAUGUAUUAGCAAAGAAAACAAAAAGUCAGCAAAUUCUCACUUCAACUGCGGAUUUGAUCCUCAGUGCUUUGAAAUAAAGACUCCAAAAAUCUUCAGAAAGAUCCUCCAUAAACUUUCGCCAUGGAAAAUGUAAGAUUUGAACUUCUUAACAAUAUCUGAUGAGUUCCGUCAGGGGCUUGAUAACAUAGGCGAUCACAUUGACCGUAUUUCUUUUGUGUUUUAAGACUGCAAAGAAAAAGAAAACAUCCAAAAUGAAUCAAAUAUGAAUAUUGCUUACUUUUCGCCCCAUAAUUUAUCUGUUAAACUAUUUCAAACUCUGAGCUGGUACGUAAGUCCAUAUUUAGGCCUACUGUAAAGCUCUAACCUGUGCUAUAGUAACUAACCUGCUGUACAAUCUGACCUGGAGGGUCUGACUUGCAGAGGCGCUAUAUAAAUAAAGUUAUUUUCCUGUACAUAUAAUUAAGUGGGUGGUGGGUGAAAAUACAGCUGAUGAAAACUUAACACAUUUAAAUUGAAUCAUAGAGGACAAAUCCUGCAGAGAACUCAAGAAUGAAGUGCUAAAUUACCUCUCUGCAGUGCUUAAGCUGAAACCAACAUUACACAAUUUUCAUGGCCGUGUUGGCCCUGAUUCUGUGUCAAACAGAUCUGCUCAUCAUUGGCAAGCAGGACCUGUGGGACCCAUUUCCUGCAGACUGGAUUUCAAUCAAACCUUUUAAACACUGGUCAUUAAGCUCACCACGUUUUACACACCCUUCAGCUUCUCAUAACAGAUGUACCUCCACAAAGGUAAAGCAAGGGGUCUGAGGACGCCCAGGGGAUACAUGAGGGGCUGUCGAAGAGUCCCUCCAAAGUAAAAUGGAAGUUAAAUUCAACUUGGCUCAAGCAUGAUGUGUAAAAAUGUUGAAGUAAGAUUAAAACUGACGAGAAUAUCUUAUCUUCAAAGGCAGGAAUCUCUUACCUAAAGCGUCAAAUAUUCACUGCACCUUGAAAUCACCAGAAAAUUCCAAUGUGGAUCACCUGUAGCACACCGAUAUGGCUCUAGUAAGAGCAAAAGGCUGAGGAGCAUUACUACAAUUAAAAAUAAUAAGUACAGGGUUGCAAAACCUGAUGAACACCUGAAAGAUGUGGGAACUAAAAACUACCUAAAUGAGCAGUUUAAAUUUUUAGUCGUAUCCUCUACCCUAAUCUGCACAAAUCUUAGAUUAUCUCAUGUUGUUUAGGUUUAUACAGACAAAACCAGGUUACUGCAUGAAAUGAUGAUGAAGCAGUUUCACAGUCUCUGCUGAGGUUAUCGCUCCACCUUUUGUCAUUCAGUUCCACACAAUCAAACGCAACAGUGUUAUCAGAUGAGGCUAUUAGCAUGAAAUCUAAUCAAUCAUGGCUCACUGCUUAUUGUCAGAUGCAAACAAACCUCUUUCACCUGUGCACACACACACACAAACACGCGCACAAACCUCUGGUAGAAUAGCUGCGUUUGGCCUUCACUGAGAGCCUCCUCAUACCAGGUGAGCUGCAGUGAUCCCUAAUCUGCCCCAAGAUCUGUGUUACUGGCUGUAAGCAGCGUGUAAUUGGUCUGAAAUUGGGCGCAGGAUCUGAGCUUGUUUAUGUAACAAGCCUUUUGUGUGAUAAUGACACUUUGCUGUCUGCUCUGUCCGUCCCUUUUAUCUGCAUCCAAAGCGCCUGCGAGACUCCUCAGCAGCAGGAAGGUCCAGGUCCUUGAUGGUGGACAAAUGAAUCCUUUUAGGUGUACAGUGUUUAAAACCUACAGACUUUAGUCCAGAUUGCCUUGUCAGGAAGCUUUGAUGCAGCCGCUGCUGUGUCUCUCCCUCCCCUCAGCCUGUUCAUCUUCCUCUUAAGUUGAAGGUUUUGUCAGAAGUUAUUUUAGCGGAGUUGUUCCGACCCGGCUCUGGAUUUCAAGCUGGUGUUCACACUUUAGUUAAGCCUGUUUCUCUUGGUGUGUCUGUCUGUCUAUAUUCUUUUGUGUCUGACCUCAGCGAUCUCACUGAGAGCCCAUGAUGAGUCAUAGCUCAGACUGAAGCUGCUGCAGCUCAGCAGGGAGUCAGGAAUACAGAGCAGCUCAGGCGUUUUACCAACACUGACAGAUACAUUUGCACAGACAGAGGAGACACAUUCACAUGUCCUCGCAUGGCUUUGCAUAUAUGAGGCGUGACCCCAGGUUAGUGCUCACUAUCGCUUAUAAAACACGUUUCCUUCCAAAAGUGACUCAGCAGUGCUCCUACAAACCUCUAUGGAUUUAGUGAUGCAAACUAAUGUAUUUUUUUGGUGACAUGAGAACUUUUCAAUUGUCUUCUUAAAUCAUGAUACCCUCCUCAGAAUGGAGCUGAUCCAGGCGUGUCAAAAGA